rnacentral:hammerhead_ribozyme from 1 species
ACCCAACUGACGAGUCCCAGAUAGGACGAAAUGUGCAUGCAGGGU